GGUGCGGUAGUCAAAGGGAUUUGAUGUCCGUCUUGCACACGGAAGGUGAAAAAAAAUUUCUCGUGCCA
rnacentral:tRNA from 1 species